rnacentral:rRNA from 1 species
UACAGAGGGUGCGAGCGUUAAUCGGAAUUACUGGGCGUAAAGUGUGCGCAGGCGGCAAAGCAAGUCGAGUGUGAAAGCCCCGGGCUUAACUUGGGAAUUGCGCUCGAAACUACUUUGCUGGAGUGUGACAGAGGAAGGUGGAAUUCCACGUGUAGCGGUGAAAUGCGUAGAGAUGUGGAGGAACACCAAUGGCGAAGGCAGCCUUCUGGGCCAACACUGACGCUCAUGCACGAAAGCGUGGGGAGCAAACAGG